UCGGAUAUGGUGUAACGGCCAACAUUGCCGCCUCUCAUUGCAGUGUACGCGGCAGCUCGGGGUUCGAUUCCCCGUAUCCGAA
rnacentral:tRNA from 1 species